GAUGAACGCUAGCGGCAGGCUUAACACAUGCAAGUCGAGGGGCAGCGUGGAGCAGCAAUGCUCUGACGGCGACCGGCGGAAGGGUGCGUAACACGUGAGCGACUUGCCCGUCACAGGGGGAUAACCGGCGGAAACGGCGACUAAUACCCCAUACGAUGCGAUGCUGCAUGGCAUUGCAUUGAAAGAUUCAUCGGUGGCGGAUAGGCUCGCGGGACAUUAGCUAGACGGCGGGGCAACGGCCCACCGUGGCGACGAUGUCUAGGGGUUCUGAGAGGAAGGCCCCCCCACACUGGGACUGAGACACGGCCCAAACUCCUACGGGAGGCAGCAGUGGGGAAUAUUGCACAAUGGGGGAAACCCUGAUGCAGCGACGCCGCGUGAGCGAAGAGUAUUUCGGUAUGUAAAACUCUAUCAGCAGGGAAGAAGAAUGACGGUACCUGACUAAGAAGCACCGGCUAAAUACGUG
rnacentral:rRNA from 1 species